rnacentral:rRNA from 1 species
UACGUAGGGGGCUAGCGUUGUCCGGAAUCAUUGGGCGUAAAGAGCGUGUAGGCGGCCCGGUAAGUCCGCUGUAAAAGUCAAAGGCUCAACCUUUGAAUGUCAGUGGAUACUGCCGGGCUAGAGUCCGGAAGAGGCGAGUGGAACUCCUGGUGUAGCGGUGGAAUGCGCAGAUAUCAGGAAGAACACCAACGGCGAAGGCAGCUCGCUGGGACGGUACUGACGCUGAGGCGCGAAAGCGUGGGGAGCGAACAGG